rnacentral:rRNA from 1 species
UACGUAGGGGGCAAGCGUUGUCCGGAUUUAUUGGGCGUAAAGAGCGUGUAGGCGGUUUGGUAGGUCCGCUGUGAAAACUCGAGGCUCAACCUCGAGACGCCGGUGGAAACCAUCAGACUAGAGUCCGGAAGAGGCGAGUGGAAUUCCUGGUGUAGCGGUGAAAUGCGCAGAUAUCAGGAGGAACACCAAUGGCGAAGGCAGCUCGCUGGGACGGUACUGACGCUGAGGCGCGAAAGCGUGGGGAGCAAACAGG